rnacentral:rRNA from 1 species
GAUGAACGCUGGCGGCGUGCCUAAUACAUGCAAGUCGAGCGAACAGAUGAGGAGCUUGCUCCUCUGACGUUAGCGGCGGACGGGUGAGUAACACGUGGAUAACCUACCUAUAAGACUGGGAUAACUUCGGGAAACCGGAGCUAAUACCGGAUAAUAUAUUGAACCGCAUGGUUCAAUAGUGAAAGACGGUUUUGCUGUCACUUAUAGAUGGAUCCGCGCCGCAUUAGCUAGUUGGUAAGGUAACGGCUUACCAAGGCAACGAUGCGUAGCCGACCUGAGAGGGUGAUCGGCCACACUGGAACUGAGACACGGUCCAGACUCCUACGGGAGGCAGCAGUAGGGAAUCUUCCGCAAUGGGCGAAAGCCUGACGGAGCAACGCCGCGUGGGUGAUGAAGGUCUUCGGAUCGUAAAACUCUGUAUUAGGGAAGAACAAAUGUGUAAGUAACUAUGCACGUCUUGACGGUACCUAAUCAGAAAGCCACGGCUAACUACGUG